rnacentral:lncRNA from 1 species
CUCAGCAUGUCUCUCUUAUUGGAAGAGGGAUUCAAUUUUGCACAUAGAUAGGGAAAUCAAAGGGAGAUAAAAUCAUUUAGCUCACUGACAAGGCUAUAAAACCAGACAACAGAUAGCAUUUCAGAGACAAGGUGGUGUAAGAAUACCUUCUAGUUCAUCAACAUAAUGCGCCCAAAUAUUUUCCCCAUAAAGACGCUUCCACAGCAUCAUAGCUUGACCAGGUCUGAAUCCACGAGAUUGAACCCAUUUCUGGCAUAGUGGAUUCCCACAAUUAUUACUUGGAAAACUUUAACAUAAAAUUAUAUAUAAAUUCUCAUAUUUGGAAUAUUAGAAUUUAUUUUGAAUUUCUAGUCUAGCUAGCUUGUACCACAGUUUAAAAUUAUAUACUUUUUUGAGUUUAGCAUAGGAAGAAAAAGAGAGUAGAAAAACACACUUCAAGCUCAAUGUAAUUCAUUCCCUUAAGAAGCCCCUUUGAACCCUUGGUUAGAAUAGCAUUCAUGUAUCUACUUCCUACACAAAUAAACAGCCAUAAAACAAAUAAAUAAAUAAAAUGGGAGCUCGAAAAACAACAUAUGUUACUAGGAAACGAUUUAUCUGCUUACCCAUAUCAACAGGAAGUAGUAACGAUGAACAAGCGGCGGUCGAAACGGAACGACGCACGGAAGAGAAAAGAGAAGUGAGGUGGAGAUGGAGAUUGGGCGGUGUCGGUGAUGAAGAGAGUUGUUUUAGAGAGGAAAGAGAGAGAUGAGAUCGAUUAGGGUAAGGAAUUGAGAGCGAAGCAGAUGAGGAGGCCAUGGAAGGGUGAUUUACAAGAACCACUGACCGCACGCGCCUCAUCCACAUACAACCCAUCUCCAUUCUCUAAUUUCUCGAAGCACGAACGUGUAAAAUGUUCCCAAGAUGAAAAUAUAUAUCAGCUUUCUUAUAUAAUUCUUAUAACGCGUGUGAAAAUAAUUUAUUUCAAAAUAUUUAUUAUAUUAUUAUUUUAAUUAAUAAUUUUUUUUAAAAAAUUAGUAUUAAGUUAAAAAUAAUAUAGUUAAUUUAUUUAAUAAUUUGAAAUUUUAAAUGUGAAAAGUAUUAUAGACUAGAGAUAGUAUAAAAUAGCUAAACUAGAAAGGUUCAGUUGGUUUUCUAGGUAUGGUUAUUGGUUCGGUUUGAACCAGAAUCAAAUUGUACUGCACAUGAACUGCUACCGGAUUGCACAGAUGGUUCAAAAUUUUGAACCAGAACUGAGGGUCACCGACUGGUUCAAUCCAUGUCAACACGUUAAAAAAUAAACUUGAAUCCGUAUCGUUGGUUCAAAAUUUUAAAUCAUAACUGGAUUCAAAGACUGGUUCCAAUUCAUGUCAAUGUUAAAAAAUAAACACGAAUCGGAAUGGAAUUGACGAUUAAAUCCGAUUCAAACAGAAGAUUCUAUUUUUAUUUUGAAAAGUUUAUAAUCAUCUACUCAUAAAUAAAUUUUGUCAUGGUACACUUGAUAAAAUUAGAAAAAAAAAAGUGAAAUACUUAUUCAAAUUUAGUCUGCAUGGAAGUUUAACAGUGUUUUUUUCUUCUAAAUUUUUUUUACUUAGUCCAAAAUUACAUUAUUUAAAAUAUUUUUUAAAUUUAUCAAACAAUUUAUUUAAUUAAUAACGUUUAGAUAAAAUAAAAUUUUGAUUUAUUUGAUUAUUUCAUAUUUAUUUGUAAAACUAAUGAAUUUUAUUUCUUAUAAAAAUAUAAAUACUCUAACCAUUGUUUAAAAUAAAAUUUACAAAUAUUUGUUUAAUUCACAUUAAUUUUUUCCGGAAAAUGACGUAAUUCUGAUUCCAUGUUUCAAAAGCCGGUUUAAAUUCAACAUUUUAAAAAUUGUAGGAGACCCCUCAAUCAUAAGAAUUUUGUACAUUGGACUAAGAGAAUUCCAAUCUAUUUUGAAAAAUUAUCACAGAAAGAAAUCGUCACCACAUAGAAUUCCAAUCUAUCUCACCCAAAAAUUGGAUAUUUAUGUUUUUUUUUUAUGAACUUCAAAUUAUGUUUACGAAAAUAACUUCCAUCCUUACUUGUUAAUAUAAUAAUAUGGAAAAAAUAAUAUGCAUUUUCAAAAUAUAAAAUGGACAACAAAUUAAACAUAUUUUUCAAUGUAAAAUUUUCCUUUAUUAUUCUAUUAAAUGUGUUAAGUACAUGUCUUUGAAUAGAUUGAUAUAUUGGUCCAAUGUUCUAAAAUUAUAGCAAAAUCCUUCAAUUAAGCUAUAGGUGCCCUGCUGGUUAUGGAAUUUUGAGGUAUCUAAAUGGACGAUGGCAACCGUUUGGAAGAUAAUUUCACCAAAUCCAAAGUUACUUAUCUUCAACGACCAAAAUCCGAAGUUGCAUAGCAUCAAGGAUUCUCCUUUCUCCUUUGGUCUGCCUAGAUGGCCAUUUUUCUUUCUCCUUCAAGCGUACAAUCUGUCCCCACAUUUGUUUCUGAAGAUUGUUUCCACAUCAAGAUGGUCCUUUCUCCUUACCAAGCGUAGACGAUGAAUCCAACCCUCAUGGCCUGUCUUCAUUUUCGACGAAAGAGAAAAUAAUUAAACAAAAGAAAUGAUAUGUUCAACCAGAAAGGAAGAACCAGAAGAUGAAGAUUCUCAAACCACGAUUGAAUCAAGUGUAAAAAACCAUGGAGGCAAUCUUCAAGAAUUAAUCACCUAGGAUUAAACUUUUCAACCAUAUUUUACUAACCAUGGAACGUUGACUAGAAACAUGAAUUAAACCGGAAAAGGUGGGACUCAAAUCACUUGAUUGUAUAAAAGGAGCACCAAAAUCUAAAAUCAGUGUUUAAGCGUUAAAGAAAGCCGAACUGAAUAACUCUUCACAAAACAAUUUUUUUAAAAGAGAACCUGUCAAAUAUCUACAAUUCAUUUCUCAUACAGAUGAAAUUCAUUCAACAUAAUAAGAAACUCAAAACAGAAUCAUAAAAUUAUGAAUAUUUUUUAGAGGCUCUGAUUGUGCAUUUGUCAAACAAACGGGAUAAUAAAGAAAAACUAUGGUAGCAAUCACAGAAGAUCGUAACAGAAACAGAAUUUUCUACAGGAUGAUUAGUUUCACAGUAGCAAAGCAAAUAUUAAUAAAAUCAAGAUUAAUACCAAUCCGAAAAGGAAUUUGAAAUAUGGAAAUAGACAGUCUAAAAAUCCAAAGGCAGAAAGAAAAACAAAAAGGAUUGACAAAAAAAAGAUCAAUAUAAAUUUGAAAGCCAGAUGCUUUAACAUGAGAAAUAAACAUCCUAAUUCCUAAAAGUCUGCAUGCCAUUUUUCAACAAAAACUCAAUUUUUUUUUUGUCAAACAAAAAAAGAAAGAGAGAACAAUACCUUUGUUGCAAUAAUAAAGAAAGACUAACAAACAAACAAUACGAGACACUCGUUUACAACCUUUGAGUAAAGAAAAAAGAAAUAAGAUUCGAGUCGAGUCAAAUUAAAUAAAAAAAAAAAACUGCCCCACCACAGUUUUGUCCCUUCAAAAUGCUUGAUUUGUAUUUAACAUCAUCACAGCCGACAAGAACUCAAGAUUUAAGUAAAGCGUAAAUUUUCAAUUUUUUAUGAUAAUUUCAGAAAAACAAAAGAAAAAUUCAUCAGAUUUAAUUAAUUUAACUAAAUUCAAGAUUCAAUCAUUUAUAUUGCAAAAAAGUGAACUAAUCAUUCAGAAUUUGAAAUAAUUCGUAGCACCUAUUGUCAGAAAGAAAGAAAAUAGGAGGAAAAUGUGGGAUCAGAUUUUCUCAUCAUUUUCCAAUUAGUGUACAUAAUUAGAAAAUAAUUAUAGGGGGAGAAUAAUUCUCUUUUUAUUGUUUAUUUCUUUCCUUGUAUAAACUUGUACCUUAGCUAUAUUAAAACGUUGUAAAGCAGCAGAAUAGAACAAUCAAUACAAUUCCUCCAAAUUAUGUCUCAAAUAAUAUUGCUUAACAUGGUAUCAGAGCAAGUUCAAUGAUUCUAGGAUCAAACAGUUGCAAUUGCUCAUCAUUUACCAACUUACCAAUAGAAAUCCGGUCACCAUGUCCGAAGACGACAACUCCUCAUCAGCCACCAGUGUACCAACCCAGAAGACUCCGGCUACCAUGUCUGAAGACGGCAACUUGGAGAAACAGUAUGGCAUCAGCAACGAUGACCUGACAAUUCAAUUAGCAAAUCUCAUAAAAAAUGGCCUCAGUAACCAAAACCAAAAACAAACCCUUUCAGAUAAUUUAAUCAUCAGCUCAAAUUAAACAGCCAAAAUUAUGUGUUAUGGGCAUGCAUGAUUAAGGUUGCAAUUGAAUAUCUAAGGCCUUGUUGAGCCACCUCACUGGAAUUCCAGCGCCACCAUAGAUCGGCGAUGAGAAAUACGAGAAAUGGGAACAAGACGAUCUCAUCGUGUUUUCAUGGUUAAUUCAAAAUAUUGAACCCCAAUUGGCAAGCAAUCUGACCGAAUUUCCUACAGCAAAAGCAUUAUGGAAUGCUCUUGUUACAACGUACAGCAGUGGCAGGGACAAAUUACAAACUUUUGAUCUUCAUUCAAGGGAAAAUGGUAUAAAACAAAAUGGAGCCCCUUUAGAAGAUUUCUGAAUUACCAUGCAAGGAGUAUGGGGCAAGAUUGACCGCCGGGAACCAAAUCCAAUGACCUCAGAAGCAGACAUAGCCACAUACAACAGAAUACGUCAAGAACAAAAACUGUUCCAGUUCCUGAAUGCAAUCGAUCAUGAAUAUAAUCAAAUAAAAAGAGAAAUUUUAAGGCAAGAUUCGUUACCCUCACCGGAAGCCGCCUACGCCACCGUUAGGAAAAAGGCAGCCCGCCUCAACAUUUUAGGACCGGCUUCUGGAAUCUCGUCACAAUAGGGCAUAGGCAGCGGAUUGAUUGCAACCGGGACUGAAGCCAUGGGAAUGGCAACACAGGGACAGCGACGGUCAGGCUCCGCCGGCGAGCCAGGCAGAUCAUCAUUCCGUUCAGACAAGGCAAAACUCAAGUGUACUCACUGUGGGAUGAGUAAACACACGAAGGAGAAUUGUUUCCGGAUUGUGGGAUAUCCCGAUUGGUGGAACGAUGACAUAAAAGGGACGGACAAGCCACAGGAGGUAAAGUCGCCAUCACCGUGAGCAGCCCUAAGGCUACCAGCAGCGGUGACGGUGGCCAAGGAGGCGUCGGAGAUGGAGGCAGUGUUGGACGAGCUAUGGCUGCUAGGGCUGAAGAAAGUGGUAAUACAGGUUAUAAAGGUAAAGGGUUUGGGAAUUUCUUCCUAAGCCCUUCCAAUUUGGACAAAUUAUUUUCUACCCUAAACCUAUUACAAAUUGACCCAAAAAGAUCUUUGUCUAUUGCAAAUAUGGUCCAAAAUUUUGAUAACAGUAAGAGUGCAUCAUGGAUUUUUGAUUGUGCCGCCACUGACACCAUGACAUUUGAUGCCAACGAUAUUAAAAUACAGUCCAAACCCACAAAGACACAUGUAGGAGCAGCCAAUGGGGGAAUAGUUCCUGUAGAGGGAACCGGGUCUAUUGAAAUAUUACCCACACUAAAACUGUCAAACUGUCUUUAUGUCCCUUCACUUUCACAUAAAUUAUUGUCUAUUAGUCAUGUAACAAAGGAACUUAAUUGUAUUAUGCUAAUGACACCCACUUUCUGUAUACUGCAGGACAUCAAGACAGGAACGAUUAUUGGACGUGGCACUGAGCGCCAAGGACUGUACUACGUGGAUGAAGUUGUCCAACACGGUACUGUGAUGUUAGCACAUGGAACUGCGGAUCGAGAAGCUUGGCUUUGGCACCAAAGAUUAGGACAUCCAUCCACUGGUUAUUUACAUCUUUUAUUUCCUAAACUCUUUAAAUCCAAUAAAAUAUUACAUUGUGAGACUUGUGUUUUGGCGAAAAGCCACAGACAAACUUUCAGGCCAAAUAAUACUAGGGUUGAUUUACCUUUUUCAUUAGUCCAUUCUGAUGUGUGGGGUCUAGCACCUGUCAUGGGAGGGAAAGGUUUUCGUUAUUUCUCGAUAUUUGUGGAUGAUUGUACUCGCAUGACGUGGGUAUAUUUUUUGAAAAACAAGUCAGAGGUUGUUGAUAAAUUUAUACUAUUUUAUACCAUGAUCCAAACCCAAUUUACUAAGUCAAUUCAAAUUUUAAGAUCCGACAACGGGGGAGAAUUUGUCAACACAACCAUGAAACAAUUUUAACAACAAAAAGGAUUAGUACACCAAACUACUUGUCCUCAUACUCCUGAGCAAAAUGGUGUUGCCGAACGAAAAAAUAGGAUUCUCCUUGAAAUGACCCGAGCUCUUCUUAUUGAGUCUCGGGUCCCUAAAGUUUUUUGGCCUGAAGCUUUAGCCACUGCCACCUACCUUCCAAAUAGACUCCCAACCUAAAUCCUUGACCUUCAAACUCCAAUCCAAACCCUAGCCAAAUUUACCAAAAUUCUCCCGACCUUAACUCUUCAACCACGAAUUUUAGGUUGCUCUGUAUUUGUCCACAUUCCGAAAACUGAAAGAACUAAAUUUGACCCAUGUGCAAAAAAAUGUGUAUUUGUUGGGUACGGGGUUAAUCAAAAGGAGUACCGAUGCUAUAAUCCUAAAACUUAUCAUAUGUUCACCACAAUGAACUGUGAUUUCCUUGAAACCGAAUACUUUUAUACUACCCAAUCCAGUGGUCAGGGGGAGAAGGAAUUAUGGACACAUUGAGUUGGCUUCCAGAACCAGUGUUCCCACAGGUGAAAUUGGAUCUUCAGAAAGAGAACCCAUGAGUGACAGUAGUAGAACAAGAAGAAAACAAUAUUGUUAGGCCAACUUCUGAUACUUCCAUACAGUCUACGGAGCCUAGUGUCUCAGAAAAUACUAUUCUUAACCUGGUGUCUGAGGUAAGAGAAACUGAAGAUCCUAACUCUCCUGUUAUUUCCACUAAUCCUGGUGACUGUGAAACUGUAGCAGAACAGGUGGCAGAGCAGGAAGAACAAUAUGUAUUACCACCCAGAGCCAAUAGGGGAGUUCCACCUAACAGAUACUCUCCAGAAAAAGAGGCUCGGAGGUCCAGAUAUCCGGUAGCAAACAUAGCCAGAGGAAGUCUAUCCAGAGAAGCCAAAGCAUUCAUCUCAGCUCUGUAUGAGGAAAAGAUCCCGACCAUAGUGGAACAUGCCUUGACAUCAGAAAAAUGGACCAAUGCAAUGAAGGAGGAAAUGAAUGCUUUAAUCCAGAACCACACAUGGGAGAAAUGUGCCUUACCGACAGGAAAGAAACCAGUUGGGUGUCGCUGGGUCUUCAUGAUAAAGCAUAAGCCAGAUGGUUCCAUUGAAAGGUACAAGGCACGGUUAGUGGCAAAAGGAUACACCCAGACUUAUGGCAUUGAUUACUCAGAGACUUUUUUACCGGUAGCAAAAAUUGAUACUAUCAGGGUAUUGUUGUCACGCCCCGACUCUAAUCACCAGAGGAAUUAUCCGCUUUGGUGUAGUCCACGAACGCCCUACACCUCAAUGUAGUCCCCGCACACCCUACCCACACGGUUUUAUCCCGCAGGUGAAAUGGGAAACUUCCCAGGAGGUCACCCAUCCUGAGAUUUCCGUUAAGCGAGCACGCUUAACCCUGGAGUUCUUCCAACUCUCCAGCCAUUCCACCAAAAGACGCCUCUAAUGAUUAGUUUCCCCCUUUUCGAUAUAUGAUUCGAUUCAUUCCUGUGUCCCGCAUUCCACUACCCUAGCUAGCCUGCCAUCCUAGGAUCGCUUUGCCGGGUCGGGAUGUCACNNNNNNNNNNNNNNNNNNNNNNNNNNNNNNNNNNNNNNNNNNNNNNNNNUCUGAUACCAACUGUCAUGCCCGACUCUAAUCACCAGAGGAAUUGUCCGCUUUGGUGUAGUCCACGGACGCCCUACACCUCAGUGUAGUCCCCGCACACCCUACCCGCACGGUUUUGUCCCGCAGGUGAAAUGGGAAACUUCCCAGAAGGUCACCCAUCCUGAGAUUUCCGUUAAGCGAGCACGCUUAACCCUGGAGUUCUUCCAACUCUCCAGCCAUUCCACCAAAAGGCGCCUCUAAUGAUUAGUUUCCCCCUUUUCGAUAUAUGAUUCGAUUCAUUCCUGUGUCCCGCAUUCCACUACCCUAGCUAGCCUGCCAUCCUAGGAUCGCUUUGCCAGGUCGGGAUGUCACAAUUGUUCUCAGUAGCAGCAAACAAGGGAUGGCCACUUCACCAGUUUGAUGUGAAGAAUGCUUUUCUGCAUGGGGAUCUGAAAGAAGAAGUUUAUAUGGAGGCUCCACCAAGUUUCACAGAGGAAUUCCAGAAAGGAGAAGUGUGUCGGUUGAAGAAGUCACUUUAUGGACUUAAGCAGUCACCUAGAGCCUGGUUUGGUAAGUUUACAUGAGCAAUGAAGGGAUAUGGGUUCAAACAGAGCAAUUCCGAUCAUACUCUAUUCCUGAAGCGGAGAGGCAGACUUGUAAUGUGUUUGAUCAUUUAUGUUGAUGACAUGAUCAUUACAAGAGAUGACAUGUAAGAAAUGACCAAGCUAAGGGAAAACCUGUUCACAGAAUUUGAAAUGAAAGACCCAGGAAGGUUGAAGUAUUUUCUCGGAAUUGAGGUUUUGAGAUCAAAACAAGGGAUUUUUCUAUGUCAGAAGAAAUACAUUUUGGAUCUUUUGGCAGAGACGAGAAUGAUCGAUUGUAAACCGGCUGACACACCAAUGGUGGUGAAUCAUGGACUGAAGAUAGUGGAAGGAGCAGAACUAGCAGAUAAGGAGAGGUAUCAAAGGUUGGUUGGAAAAUUGAUAUAUCUCUCACAUACUCGGCCAGAUAUAGCUUAUGCAGUUGGAGUAGUGAGCCAGUUCAUGCAUCAACCUCAGAUAGACCAUAUGGAAGCCGUGUGGAGGAUUGUAAGGUAUCUAAAGGGGACAUAUGGACGUGGUGUUCUAUUCAAAGCACAUGGACACCUAGAAUACAGGGGUAUACUAACACCGACUGGGAGGCAAUCCAGUGGACCGCAGAUCUACUUCAGGAUAUUUUACUCUUGUGGGGGGGGUAACUUAGUCACAUGGAGGAGCAAAAAUCAAAAAGUUGUAGCUUUGUCCAGUGAAGAGGUUGAAUUUCAAGGAGUGGCACGAGGCUUGGCAGAAAUAUUCUGGUUACGAAAAUUGCUAACUGAAAUUGGGUUUCCACCAUCUGAGGCUUGCAAGAUAAUGUGCGAUAAUCAGGCAACAAUUAGUAUCUUAGAAAAUCCAGUACAACAUGAUCGGACAAAACACGUAGAAGUUGAUAGACACUUCAUAAAAGAGAAGUUAGAUGCAGGUAUUGUAGAACUAACUUUCGUACGCUCUGAAGAUCAACUAGCAGAUAUAUUAAUGAAGGCAGUGAACGGAAGGAUCUUCAAUGAAGUUUUGGGCAAGUUGAGUAUUGGCAACCCCACUACUCAACUUGAGGGGGAGUGUCAGAAAGAAAGGAAAUAUGAGGAAAAUGUGGGAUCAGAUUUUCUCAUCAUUUCCCAAUUAGUGUACAUAAUUAGAGAAUAAUCUUUUUAUUGUUUAUUUCUUUUCUUGUAUAAACUUGUACCUUAGCUAUAUUAAAACGUUUUAAAGCAGCAGAAUAGAACAAUCAAUACAAUUCCUCCAAAUUAUGUCUCAAAUAAUAUUGCUUAACACCUGCAUAGUAAUCGCAAAGCUUAAAACCAACAAAUGAAAAAAAAAGGGAAAAAGAAAAAGGAAGGUCCUCACCAAUUUCAAGCGAUUAAUCAAAUUUUGAAGAGAUAGGUCCUUUUUUUUUCCUUGAAUUGACCAAUUUCAGGCGUUUUUUCCUUUUUCAGAAGGGAGAGAGAUUGAGACGAAGGUGAAGAGAUCAAGAGAGAGGUAGUUAGUACUUAAUAUGAAGAAGAGGCGUGGUCGUGGAGAGAUAGUGAGCUGUGGGCUUUACCAUAUAAAUGGACCCUGGAAGUUGGAAUACGUACGGUCUUUAAGAUUAGGGAUUUUUGUUUCUUUGUUUUCUUCAAAUGAUUAUAAAAAUAAUUGAAUAAAUGAAAUUAAAGGACUAACACUAAAAUUAAAUAAAAAUUUUACUUCUUUUCCAUUUUAUGGUAACUACGCAAAAUAGUACAUUUUCAGUCGACAUAUAACUAGAGAGCUACAUUAUUUCAAAAAAGAAUUACAUAAGUAAAUUAUCGUGCUCUUUUAUAAUAUGACAUCUUAUGAUUUCAAUUAUAUUAUUGAAUCUCUCUUGUAGUUUGCUAAUUAAACGGUAGAUCUCUUCACGUGAAUUAUAUAUUACUUUAGCGAACAAAGAGGCCCAUAAAAUUAAAAUAAUCCAACCAAAAAUUGGGACAACGAUAAAUAAAAGUGCAACUAUGGCCAAUCCAAGAGCAAAUAAGCCAACUUUGCUAAUAAUUGAAUUGAAGGAGUUCCAAGCUUGAAAGAUAAUUCCAAACCCAUAUGUGAAUAGAGCAAGAAGAAAGAUUGUUAAUAUAAAGUGUGUGUCUGUAUCAACCAAAGACUUGAUUUGAAUGAGGCCAAUUAAACUUGCUAUGGUCAAGGUGAAAACAUUAUGCACUGCCUUCACAUUUCCCCUGAAAAGAAAAAUGAAAUAAAUAAACUAUUAGAAGGCUUUAGCACGUUUCAAUUUAACUGUAAUUGAUAAGGAUAAAGAAAGUUGCAUAAAUUUUAUAGACUGAGCAAUAAUUGCAAAAUGGAUAAAAAGUUUGGAAGAGUUUUGAAUAAGCUUUCAUGAAUUGUAAUAAAGAUUGAUAGCUUGAAAUGAUAAGAGAAGUGAAUCAAAUACUGAAACACUUGAAGAUACAAUAAAAAGUUUGACAACCCAAUGUUUAAUGAUACUAACCUUUCGAUUGGCAUUUUCUUUUAAAUUCUUCGUGCUUGCUAUUUUUAGUUGCAAGAGCUCCUUUAAUAGACAAACAUGAAAAUAUCAAGUUCUACCCCACUUCUUUUUGUUUCUCACAUUCAUUUUAUCCUUGACCCUUUUUGCAUCUCACAAUGUCGUUUCAUAUAAGUCGACUUUCCAGUCAUAAUUAUAUUGUCGACUUUAUUCGACACAUAAUAAUACGAAAUUUUUUCAUAGCAGGUUGUGAUGGGCUGUUGAUUCUUGGAAUCAAUUUUCCAAGCCCAACCUCAUUACCUUAUUGUUGGAAUUUAGAGAUACUAAUAAGUGUGUAGAAGUGUUGACACCUGUUUCUAUAACUUAUCAAAGACAAAAUUCAUAAGGCUCAGCAUGUCUCUCUUGUUGGAAGAGAGAUUCAAUUUUGCACAUAGUUAGGGACAUAAAAUCAUUUAUCUCACUGAAAAGGCUAUAAAACCGGACAAUAGAUAGCAUUUCAGAGACAAGGUGGUGUAAGAAUACCUUCUAGUUCUAGUUCAUCAACAUAAUGCGCCCAAAUAUUUUCCCCAUAAAUACGCUACCACAGCAUCAUAGCUUGACCAGGUCUGAAUCCAUGAGAUUGAACCCAUUUCUGGCAUAGUGGAUUCCCACAAUUAUUACUUGGAAAACUUGAACAUAAAAGUAUACAUAAAUUCUCAUGUUUGGAAUAUUAGAAUUCAUUUUGAAUUUCUAGCCUAGCUAGCUUGUACCACAGUUUAAAAUUAUAUACUUUUUUGAAUUUAGCAUAGGAAGAAAAAGAGAGUAGAAAAACACACUUCAAGCUCAGUGUAAUUCAUUCCCUUAAGAAGCACCUUUGAACCCUUGGUUAGAAUAGCAUUCAUGUCUCUAAUUCCUACACAAAUAAACAGCCACAAAACAAAUAAAUAAAUAAAAUGGGAGCUCGAAAAACAACAUAUGUUACUAGGAAACGAUUUAUCUGCUUACCCAUAUCAACAGGAAGUAGUAACGAUGAACAAGCUGCGGUCGAAACGGAACGACGCGCGGAAGAGAAAAGAGAAGUGAGGUGGAGAUGGAGAUUGGGCGGCGUCGGUGAUGAAGAGAGUUGUUUUAGAGAGGAAAGAGAGAGAUGAGAUCGAUUAGGGUAAGGAAUUGAGAGCGAAGCAGAUGAGGAGGCCAUGGAAGGGUGAUUUACAAGAACCACUGAUCGCACGCGCCUCAUCCACAUACAACCCAUCUCCGGUCUCCGAUUUCUUGUAGCCCGAAAGUAGUACAUGUUCAUUUGAUGAAAAUAUAUAUUAACAUCAUCACAGCCGACAAGAACUUAAGAUUUAAGUAUAGCGGAAAUUUUCAAUUUUUUAUGAUAAUUUCAGAAAAACAAAAGAAAAAUUCAUCAGAUUUAAUUAAUUUAACUAAAUUCAGGAUUCAAUCAUUAUUGCUAAACAGUGAACUGAUCAUAAAAGUGAAUUGAUCAUUCAGAAUUUGAAAUAAUCCGUAGCACCUGUAUAGUAAUCGCAGAGCUUAAAACCAACAAAUGAAAAAAUAAAGGGAAAAAGAAAAAGGAAGGUUCUCACCAAUUUCAAGCGAUUAAUCAAAAUUUGAAGAGAUAGGUUCUUUCUUGAAUAGACCAAUUUCAGGCGUUUUUUCCUUUUUGCAGAAGGGAAAAAGAAAUUGAGACGAAGAAGAAGAGAUCAAGCGAGAGACUUAGUAGGAAGGAGAGGCGUGGUCGGGUCGGGUCGUGGAGAGAUAGUAAGAUUAGGGUUUUUUUUUUUUUUUGUUUUUUUCAAAUGAUUAUGAAAAUAAUUGAAUAAAUGAAAUUAAAGGAUGAACACUGAAAUUAAAUAAGAUUUUUAUUUCUUUUCUAUUUUAUGGUAACUAUACAAAAUAGCACAUUUACAAUCCAUGUGUACCUAAAGAGCUACAUUAUCUCAAAAAAAGAAUCACACAGGUAAAAUAUUGUGCUCUUCUGUAACAUCUUUAUGGUAACUACACAAAAUAGCAUAAUUUCAACUGAUAUAUAGCUAGAGAGCUACAUUAUUUAAAAAAGAAUUACACAGGUAAAUUAUCGUUCUCUUUUAUAAUAUAACGUCUUAUGAUUUUAACUUCUAUAAUAUAACGUUUUAUACUUUCAAUUUUCUCAUUGAAUUUCUCUCGUAGUGUACUGAUUAAAUAAUAGAUCUCUUCCCUUGAAUUAUAUAUUACUCCAGCGAACAAGGAGGCCCAUAAAAUUAAAAUGAUCCAACCAAAAAUUGGGAGAACCAUAAAUACAAGUGCGACUACGGCCAAUCCAACAGCAAAUAAGCCAACUUUGCUAUUAAUUGAAUUGAAUGAAUUCCAAGCUUGAAAUAUAGUUCCAAACCCGUAUGUGAAUAGAGCAACGAGAAAGAUUGGUAAUAUAAAGUGUCUGUCUGUAUCAUCCAAAUGCUUGAUUUGAACGAGGCCAAUUAAACUUGAUAUAGUCAAGGUGAAAACAUUAUGCACUGCGUUUAAAUUUUCCCUGAAAAGAAAAAUGAAAUAAAAAAACUAUUAGAAGGCUUUAGCACAUUUCAAUUUAACUAUAUAUAUUUGUAAUUGAUAAGGAUAAACAAAGUUGCAUAAAUUUUAUAGACUUAGCAAUAAUUGCAAAACGGGUAAAAAUUUUGGAAGAGUUUUGAAUAAUCUUUCAUGAAUUGAAUAAAGAUUGAUAGCUUGAAACGAUAGAGAAGUUAAACAAAGUGUGCUCUGUCUAGUCAUGAUCAAAUACAGAAAAACUUGAAGAUAAAAUAAAAAGUUUGCAACCCAAUCCCAAUAUUUAAUGAUACUUACAUUUUCUUCUUCGUGCUUGUUGUUAGAGAAUGCAAGAAUGGUAGAGAACGCAAGAAUAUGAAGAUAGGAGAGGAGCUUGUUACUAGGAGCAGGUCGCAGAGGAGAUGCUCGCAGAGGAGAUGGCAAGAAUAUGAAGAGAGGAGGAGCAGGUCGCAGAGGUGAUGGUCGCAGAGGAGAUGGCAAGCAUAUGAAGAUAGGAGAGGAGCUUGAUACUAGGAGCAGGUCGCAGAGGAGAUGCUCGCAGAGGAGAUGGCAAGAAUAUGAAGAGAGGAGGAGCAGGUCGCAGAGGUGAUGGUCGCAGAGGAGAUGGCAAGCAUAUGAAGAUAGGAGAGGAGCUUGAUACUAGGAGCAGGUCGCAGAGGAGAUGCUCGCAGAGGAGAUGGCAAGAAUAUGAAGAGAGGAGGAGCAGGUCGCAGAGGUGAUGGUCGCAGAGGAGAUGGCAAGCAUAUGAAGAUAGGAGAGGAGCUUGAUACUAGGAGCAGGUCGCAGAGGAGAUGCUCGCAGAGGAGAUGGCAAGAAUAUGAAGAGAGGAGGAGCAGGUCGCAGAGGUGAUGGUCGCAGAGGAGAUGGCAAGAAUAUGAAGAUAGGAGAGGAGCUUGUUACUAGGAGUAAGUCAGAGGAGAUGGUAUUAUAUAAUAUUCUAGUCUAGUCAAUAUACCUAGACAUUGACAUUGACAGGGUGGAAUUGGAGGGUUGGAGAGGGUUGGAGGGUUGGCAAUUCCAUUGCACAGUUCAGGGUGGUGUAUUUUAGAAGAUAAUAUUAUAUAAUAUUCUAGUCUAGUCAAUUUUUCCAGGCCCAACCUCAUUGAAUUUUUCCAUUUUGGUCUGAUGGGCCGUUGAUUCUUCGAUUCAAUUUUUCCAAGCCCAACCUCAUUACCUUGUGUCAGAAUUUACAGAUACUAAUAGGUAAUAAAAAAAGAUUUCAAUACUUUUACACAGGCAAUAUGGGACAAUAUUAUUCUUUGGAAAAAAAAAAAAAAAGCUAUUAUUGCUGUUGAUGGACAAUAUUAUGUCUUCCCACCAGCAAGACAUCUCCAGUUCCGAUUCGAUCCGGUUCCGAUUCUCACCGGUUCCAAUUACGAUUCGGGACCGGUUCGAACCGACGGUUCCGAUUUCCGAAACCGUAAUAUGGCCACCCCUAAAUAUGGGACAAUAUUAUUCUUUGGAAAAAAAAAAAAAAGCUAUUAUUGCUGUCUUCCGAUUGCCUUUCCAAUCCUAUUCCUACUGUUGUUUCUCUCACAUCUGCCUUAAUUAUUCAAUAAAUAAAUUUUCAUUAUUACUUUUUUCAGUUCAUUAAUAUUGGCAAUUGGUAAAAAGGGAUGGAUUAUGAUAUCAUAUUAAAAAAAAUAAAAGCUGAAUAUGCAAACUUAGGUAUCAAAAGCUAAAAGUACUAAUAAUUAAUUAUAAGAAAGUGAUGUAAGGAUAAACAAAAUUAAAUUUUUUUUUUUUUAGCAAAAUGUUUUUAACAUACUCAAAUAUAAAUUCACCUCUAAUAUGAUUUGUUUUUACAUUUUAUUUUUACUUCUUGCACCUACAUAUUUUAUAUUGUAUAUUGUGGCCUCCUGCUUUUAUUAUUGUAUUAAACCUACUCUUUUUUUACUCUAUAUAUAUUGCAUUAUUUUAUUUUAUUUUAUUUUGUUGUUGCAUUGCUUUUGAUUCUUUUUCUUUUUAUAAAGAACAUGAUGUUAUCUCGCAUUAUGGAUUAAAUAAAACAAUACUUCUUUCGUUGGAUUUAUGCAUAUUAAUUUGGGAUAUACAUGCAAAAAAUUUUGGUUCAAGGUAUAAAUUCAUCCCUGUACUUUUUUUACGAGAAAUCUCGUGACAUUCUCAACUUUUAUUUUUUCUUAUUAAAUAUUUCAACUUAUAAAAUUGCACUUAUUAAAUACUUUAAUUGCAUUUAUUAAAUACUUUAAUUGACUUAUUAAACACUUCAAUUUAUAAAAUUAAAUCGAUUAAAAUACUUAUUGAAUAGUUCAAAUGUAAAAUUUAUUGUUUUAAAAAUUAUAUUAACUACAUAUUAAAUUAAUAUUUUGCAUAUAAAACUAAAAAAAUUUAAAAUUUAUUAUUACAAUAACGAGAUGAGAGAUCAUAUAAAAAUAAAAAUUAGAAUGCCACAAAAUUGAUUUUAAAAUUUACAAAAUAUCAUGAAUUUUUUUUUAUAAAUUUUAAAAGUUAAAUUAUAUAUUGCGCCGAAAGAAAAUCUACACGCAACUAACGUAACGCAACAGACUUUUCUCCCUCAAAAUUUUAAAUUAUUUAUUUCGAAUUUUUUUAUUGCUCAACUCACUUGCUGCUCUCUUUCCUUCUGUGCCUUCGGCCCGGAUUGACAAGAAUGAUACGAAUACGUACUUCAAAAGUGAUUCAGACAAUUUACCCAUAUACAUAAAUUCAACGUUUAGCUUUAUUACUUAAAUUUUACAGUGCUUUUAAUUUUUUAUUUAAUUCAUCCAACAUUUUAAUUUAUAAAAUUAUUUUAUUAAAUAUUUCAAUUUACAAAAUAGAUCAAUUAAACACCUAUGAAAUAAUUAAAAUUUAUGAAAAUUAUUAUUCUAAAAAUUUUAAACAUUAUUGUUGUUACUGUGAAAAAAUAUUUAAUAUUACCAAAAUUUAUAAAUUCAAAUAUACGAUAAAUCAUCAUAAAAUUAAGGAUAGCAAGAGUUAAAAUUGCAAAAUUAGAGAGUAAAUUUAUAUAUUCAACGCUUUUUUAAGAUUUUAAAUAAUGUUUCCUUGGCAUUUUUCAAUUUUAAAAAUUAUUACGGUAUUAUAUAAAUAUUUUUUGUUAAGAGCUAAAAUAAUUUAAGAAGAAAUAAAGUAAGAAAAUGGUAAGCUGAAAUAUUUUAUAUUUUAUGGCUUUCAAAGAAGAAAUAAUGUAAGAAAAUGCUAAACUGAAUCGGGCCAAAAACAUAAUCAAACAAAAUCAACUUUUAAAAAAAAGAAAAAAGAAAAUAAUAAAAGAUAUGAAAAGGAAGAAAAGGAUGGAGUUGUAGUUAAACAAAAUAUUAAGGUCUGGAUCCAUGAGCUUGAACCCGUUUCUGGCAUAGUGGAUUCCCACAAUUAUUACUUGGAAAACUUGAACAUAAAAUUAUACAUAAAUUCUCAUGUUUGGAAUAUUAGAAUUCAUUUUGAAUUUCUAGUCUAGCUAGCUUAGCUUGUACCACAGUUUAAAAUUAUAUACUUUUUUGAGUUUAGCAUAGGAAGAAAAAGAGAGUAGAAAAACAUACUUCAAGCUCAGUGUAAUUCAUUCCCUUAAGAAGCACCUUUGAACCCUUGGUUAGAAUAGCAUUCAUGUCUCUACUUCCUACACAAAUAAACAACCACAAAACAAAUAAAUAAAUAAAAUGGGGGCUCGAAAAAUAACAUAUGUUACUAGGAAACGAUUUAUCUGCUUACCCAUAUCAACAGGAAGUAGUGACGAUGAACAAGCGGCGGGCGAAACGGAACGACGCGCGGAAGAGAAAAGAGAAGUGGGGUGGAGAUGGAGAUUGGGCGGUGGCGGUGAUGAAGAGAGUUGUUUUAGAGAGGAAAGAGAGAGAUGAGAUCGAUUUGGGUAAGGAAUUGAGAGCCAAGCAGAUGAGGAGUCCAUGGAAGGGUGAUUUACAAGAACCACUGACCGCACGCGCCUCAUCCACAUACAACCCAUCUCCAUUCUCCGAUUUCUCCUAGCCCGAAAGUAUUACAUGUUCAUUUGAUGAAAAUAUAUAUUAACAUCAUCACAGCCGACAAGAACUCAAGAUUUAAGUAAAGCGGAAAUUUUCAAUAUUUUAUGAUAAUUUCAGAAAAACAAAAGAAAAAUUCAUCAGAUUUAAUUAAUUGAACUAAAUUCAGGAUUCAAUCAUUACUGCAAAAAAGUGAAUCGAUCAUUCAGAAUUUGAAAUAAUCCGUAUUAUAGUAAUUGCAGAGCUUAAAACCAACAAAAGAAAAAAUAAAGGAAAAAAGAAAACGGAAGGUUCUCACCAAUUUCAAGCGAUUAAUCAAAAUUUGAAAAGAUCAAGAGAGAGGUAGUUAGUACUUAGUAGGAAGGAGAGGCGUGGUCGGUUCGGGUCGGGCCGGGUCGAGAGAGUAACACUGAAAUUAAUUGAAUAAAUGAAAUUAAAGGACUAACACUGAAAUUAAAUAAAAAUUCUAUUUCUUUUCCAUUUUAUGCUAACUACACAAAAUAGCAAUUUUCAAUCGAUAUAUAACUAGAGAGCUACAUUAUUUCGAAAAAGAAUUACACAGGUAAAUUAUCGUGCUCUUCUAUAAUAUAACGUCUUAUGAUUUCAACUUCUAUAAUAUAACGUCUUAUAAUUUCAAUUCUCUUAUUGAAUUUCUCUCGUAGUUUACUGAUUAAACAAUAGAUUUCUUUCCUUGAAUUAUAUAUUACUUUAACGAACAAGGAGGCCCAUAAGAUUAAAAUAAUCCAACCAAAAAUUGGGACAAGGAGAAAGGCAAGUGCAACUAUGGCCGAUCCAACAGCAAAUAGGCCAACUUUGCUAACAAUUGAAUUGAAGGAGCUCCAAGCUUGAAAGAUAGUUCCAAAGCCAUAUGUGAAUAGACCAACAAGAAAGAUUGUGAAUAUAAAGUGUUUGUCUGUAUCAACUAAAGGCUUGAUUUGAAUGAGACCAAUUAAACUUGCUACGGUGAAGGCGAAAACCUUGUGUACUGCAUUUAAAUUUUCCCUGAAAAGAAAAAUGAAAUAAAAAAACUAUUAGAAGGCUUUAGCACAUUUCUAUUUAACUAUAUAUAUUUGUAAUUGAUACGGAUAAACAAAGUUGCAUAAAUUUUAUAGAUUUAGUAAUAAUUGCAAAAUGGAUAAAAAUUUUGGAAGAGUUUUGAAUAAUUUUUCAUGAAUUUUAAUAAAGAUUGAUAGCUUGAAAUGAGGAGAGAAGUGAAUCAAAUACUGCAAAACUUGAAGAUAAAAUAAAAAGUUUGCAACCCAAUAUUUAAUGAUACUUACCUUUCGCUUGGCAUUCUUUUAAAUUCUUCGCGCUUGUUAGAGAACGGAAGAGUAGGAAGAUAGGAGAGUAUGAGACUAGCUGCAAUGACUAGAGAGCGAGUAGUGGCAUAUUAUAUUGACUUUCUUUCACUCGACUAACAUUUUUGAGUAACAAUCGCUCGACUAACAUUUGUCAUUAUUGACAUUUGUUACUCUCGUUUGCGUAACAAUCGCUAGAGAGCGAGUAGUGGCAUAUUAUAUUGAGUAACAAUCGCUAGAGAGCGAGUACCAUUUGUCAUUAUUGACAUUUGUUCCUCUCGUUUGAGUAACACUCACUAGAGAGCGAGUAGUGGCAUAUUAUAUUGAGUAACAAUCGCUAGAGAGCGAGUACCAUUUGUCAUUAUUGACAUUUGUUCCUCUCGUUUGAGUAACAAUCGCUCGACUAACAUUUGUCAUUGUUGACAUUUGUCAUUAACUGUUGAUUUUUAUUAUAAUUUAAAAAAAUCAAUCACUUUUUUAGUUUUAGUAUAAAAACUUUAAAUGGUUUAUAUUUUAAAAUAAGGAAAACAGUUAAAUCAAUGAAAAUAGACUAUAUAUCCAAUGAAAUUUCCUGCAAUAUAAAAACUGAUAAAUUUGGAAUCACUGCUGUUACCCGAAUACUAGCCAGCUUGAACAUUUAAAAAAAAAAAAAAACAAAACAAAAGAAAAGAAAACCCGUAUAUAUAUUUUAUUAUGUGACUCUACAACAUGAUUUUGAAAAUUUGCAGCAGCACAACAACAGCAGCCAAGCCUUAGCCACAAACUAGUUGGGAAUUUGCACAAAUACACAAAAUCUUUUGUUUCCAUAUGGCUCUAUGCUAGAUAUAGAUAAUACUAAACUGAAUUCAAAAUGUCCUUUAGUAUCCUAAAGGGUUAAAAUCAAAUCUUAAAUGACAAGAAGAAAACGCCAAUUCAUUUUGUUUGGAAUGCAAAAAUCCAUUUAAGAUAUUGUGAGAGAAAAUAAAUGUUUGUUUACUAAUGCAGCCUAAAUUUCAUAGAGGUUGGAACAUCCAUUGCAAAGACCCAGCAAAUGCAAGCAGAUAAAUUCAUACGAACCAGCAAAUAGCAAUACAAGGAUAUCAGCAUCCAAAAUAAAAAAUUGCCACGUGUGAAAAUUGUGGCAUGAGAGGUUACUCACCAGUACUUAAUCAAGCCAUCCCAGCCGCAAGUUGCCACUUUGCUUUGCUCCAAUGGAUGCCACUCGCACCCAAUGCACACACCCUCAUGACACUUGUCCUGAAAACUUUACAACUCUUCCAGUCCCAAAACCAGCACUUACCCUCACCGUCUCCUGACAUAACAAAACGUCCAUCUGGUGAGAAAUUUACUUGGCAAGCAUAACCUGCCACAAUAUGCUCAGCAAACCGCUGGUGCACCUCUCCUAACUAUUGCAAUUUAGUUUCCUCUGAGAAACCUCAGGAGCAUUUGCAUAAAUUGAGGGUGUUAAUGAUACAGGUUAAAAAUAUAAUAUUAUAUGAUGGGUUAAAAGCACAUCAAACAAAUCAUUCUUGCCCAAACUAACACGAAACAAGUCAGCAACUGGUAGUCUGGUACCACAAGUAAACAUGCUAGCGUAAUAGACAAAGCAACUGCAUACAUCUAUCUUUCUGACUUGCAAUAUCAUGCAGUCAACGUUUACAACGUCAAUCAUGCAGUUACCCUAACAGUAGCACAAGAUAUUUCAUAUGGCCAAACAUAUUAUCAAAUAUCAAAUAAAACUGAGAAAGGAAAAUGUUUAUCUAACCUGUCAUUUACUCCUGCAAGCAUCACAUACUCGAACAAAAGAUCAAUGAAUAAGGAAACACAUGGACUUAAUUCCACAAAUUAUGUGUUUUUCUAUGUGAACAGGGAAUGCAUAACGACCACAAAACGAAUGAAAUCUUCACUUUCUAUUUAUGUUGUCGAUAGAUAGUGAAAAUAACAUUGAAUUAUUAGAUGCCUUAUUACUGGACUGAGCAAAGUCACUAACUGAGCCAAAUCUGAACUGAUUGGAAAAACUUUAAUAGAAAAUUUUCUAGAUCACACCAUAAAUACAACGUUUGUGAUGGAACCAACUUCGCUCGUCACAAGACGUUGUGCAAAUACAACCUGGUCUACAAUCUCUGCAGUAGUCAGAUGUCUCUUCAAACCCAUCCUAAAAAUUGGAUUAUGCAUCAAGAAGAUGUACCUUGUAGAGAGUAAGAAUAGCAAUAAUAGAGAUACAAAUAAGAAAGAUAUAAAGCUUACCUGCCAGUGCAGCAGAACUGACAAUUCAUGGCACAGCCCACUUGACUUGAAACACAAACUGUCGUCCUACCUCUAUCACAAGGUAUGACGACUGUUUCAAUUACCAGUUCAUCAUCCAACCUAAAUAAAAUCUGCAAGCUCCUGUGAGUUUCAAAACCAAUGAGAAGAUAAUGCAACUGCUAAAAGCAAUAUAUCAAACCAGAAUAAAGUGACUUCGAGACCAAAAAUACAACAGAUAAUGGUUUUGGCUACCUUCUUAGUUCCAUCAGAUGCAGAACGAAUAUUUUCCAAAUAUAUUGCCUUAUAUUCUGCGUGUUCACUCAACAUUUUCCUAAAAUCCUUAUUCAAACCUGAAUAAGGUUAUCAAAGACAAAUUCAUAAGGCUCAGCAUGUCUCUCUUGUUGGAAGAGAGAUUCAAUUUUGCACAUAGAUAGGGACAUCAAAGGGAGAUAAAAUCAUUUAGCUCACUGAAAAGGCUAUAAAACCAGACAAUAGAUAGCAUUUCAGAGACAAGGUGGUGUAAGAAUACCUUCUAGUUCAUCAACAUAAUGCGCCCAAAUAUUUUCCCCAUAAAGACGCUACCACAGCAUCAUAGCUUGACCAGGUCUGGAUCCAUGAGAUUGAGCCGUGGACCCAUUUCUGGCAUAGUGGAUUCCCACAAUUAUUACUUGGAAAACUUGAACAUAAAACUAUACAUAAAUUCUCAUGGUUGGAAUAUUAGAAUUCAUUUUGAAUUUCUAGUCUAGCUAGCUUGUACCACAGUUUAAAAUUAUAUACUUUUUUGAGUUUAGCAUAGGAAGAAAAAGAGAGUAGAAAAACACACUUCAAGCUCAGUGUAAUUCAUUCCCUUAAGAAGCACCUUUGAACCCUUGGUUAGAAUAGCAUUCAUGUCUCUANNNNNNNNNNNNNNNNNNNNNNNNNNNNNNNNNNNNNNNNNNNNNNNNNNNNNNNNNNNNNNNNNNNNNNNNNNNNNNNNNNNNNNNNNNCCAUAUCAACAGGAAGGUAGUGACGAUGAACAAGCGGCGGUAGAAACGGAACGACGCGCGGAAGGGAAACGAGAAGUGGGGUGGAGAUGGAGAUUGGGCGGUGGCGGUGAUGAAGAGAGUUGUUUUAGAGAGGAAAGAGAGAGAUGAGAUCGAUUAGGGUAAGGAAUUGAGAGCGAAGCAGAUGAGGAGGCCAUGGAAGGGUGAUUUACAAGAACCACUGACCGCACGCGCCCCAUCCACAUACAACCCAUCUCCAUUCUCCGAUUUCUCGUAGCCCGAAAGUAUAACACGUUCAUUUGAUGAAAAUAUAUCCAAGCUCUCUUACAUAAUACUUAUAUGAAAAUAACUUAUAUCCGAAAAUAUCUUAUUUCAAAAUACAUGCGAGCUGUAAGAAGUAAUAAAGAUUUUUUUUAUUUAUUCUUUAUAUAUAAUCAAUAAUUAUUAUUUUAAUUUAAUAAUUUUUUAGAAAAUUAAUAUUAAAUUAAAGAUAAUAUAGUCAAUUUAUUUAAUAAUUUAUUAUAAUUUAAACACAUUUAAUAAUUUUCUUAAGAAAUCUGAAAUUUAUGACAAGUAUUAUUGACCAGAGAUCAUAUGAAAUGGCUAAACUAGCAAGGUUCAAUUGGUUUUUUAGGUAUUGUUAUUGGUUCGGUUUGAACCAUAAUCAAAUUGUACUGUGCAUGAACUGAAAUCGAAUUCAAAAUUUUGAACUAGAACUGGAGUUCACCGACUGGUUCAAUCCAUGUCAAUACGUUAAAAAAUAAAACUGAAUUGGUAUCGUUGGUCCAAAAUUUUAAAUCAUAACUUGAGGUUCAAAGACUGGUUCCUAUCCAUGUCAAUGUUAAAAAAUAAACCUGAAUCGGAAUGGAAUUGACGAUUCCAGUCCGGUUAAACAUAAAUUUAUAAUCAUCUACUCAUAAAUAAAAUUUUCAUGAUAAAUAACGCAAAAAUGCAGAAUCCGGAUAAGGGGAUCGUGACUCUACAACAUGAUUUUGAAAUUUUCCAGCGGCACACCACCAGCAGCCAAGCCUUAGCCACAAACUAGUUGGGAAUUUGCACAAAUACACAAAAUCUUUUGUUUCCAUAUGGCUCUAUGCUAGAUAUAGAUAAUAAUAAACUGAGUUCAAAAUGUCCUUUAGUAUCCUAAAGGGUUAAAAUCAAAUCUUAAAUGACAAGAAGAAAACGCCAAUUCAUUUUGUUUGGAAUGCAAACAUCCAUUUAAGAUAUUGUGAGAGAAAAUAAAUGUUUGUUUACUAAUGCAGCCUGAAUUCCAUAGAGAUUGGAACAUCCAUUGCAAUGCAAGCAGACUAAUUCAUAUGAACCAGCAAAUAGCAAUACAAGGAUAUCAGCAUNNNNNNNNNNNNNNNNNNNNNNNNNNNNNNNNNNNNNNNNNNNNNNNNNNNNNNNNNNNNNNNNNNNNNNNNNNNNNNNNNNNNNNNNNNNNNNNNNNNNNNNNNNNNNNNNNNNNNNNNNNNNNNNNNNNNNNNNNNNNNNNNGAAAACCUUACAACUCUUCCAGUCCCAAAACCAGCAUUUACCCUCACCGUCUCCUGACAUAACAAGCCGUCCAUCUGGUGAGAAAUUUACUUGGCAAGCAUAACCUGCCACAAUAUGCCCAGCAAACCACUGGUGCACCUCUCCUAACUAUUGCAAUUUAGUUUCCUCUGAGAAACCUCAGGAGCAUUUGCAUAAAUUGAGGGUGUUAAUGAUACAGGUUAAAAAUAUAAUAUUAUAUGAUGGGUUAAAAGCACAUCAAACAAAUCAUUCUUGCCCAAACUAACACGAAACAAGUCAGCAACUGGUAGUCUGGUACCACAAGUAAACAUGCUAGCGUAAUAGACAAAGCAACUGCAUACAUCUAUCUUUCUGACUUGCAAUAUCAUGCAGUCAACGUUUACAACGUCAAUCAUGCAGUUACCCUAACAGUAGCACAAGAUAUUUCAUAUGGCCAAACAUAUUAUCAAAUAUCAAAUAAAACUGAGAAAGGAAAAUGUUUAUCUAACCUGUCAUUUACUCCUGCAAGCAUCACAUACUCGAACAAAACUUCGCAAUUCUUUAUGGAUUGGAGUUCCUUCCGAAGGGUGUCAAGAAGCAAGCCUAAAUUGUAUUUCCGGUUACUUGGCACGAUCCAGUUUCUUACAUGCAUGGUUUAUUAGUUAAAGAGAAAGUCAACAACCUGGAUGUGUUUCCCAAGUGAAUAAACAUACAGAUAUAAAUGAAAAUGCACCUCAUCAGCUGUCGCAUUCAGACUAACAGCUAAAGCACAAUUGGAUUCAUGAAGGAAACGUUUCAACGGGGGGACAAGCCCGCUUGUAGAAACAGUGACCUUGCGAGGACUAAAAUGAAGAUCCUGCUCAUGCACCAUAAUAUCUGCAGCUUUUAUGACGACUGUUUCAAUUACCAGUCCAUCAUCCAACCUAAAUAAAAUCUGCAAGCUCCUGUGAGUUUCAAAACCAAUGAGAAGAUAAUGCAACUGCUAAAAGCAAUAUAUCAAACCAGAAUAAAGUGACUUCGAGACCAAAAAUACAACAGAUAAUGGUUUUAGCUACCUUCUUAGUUCCAUCAGAUGCAGUACCAACAUCUUCCAAAGAUAUUGCCUCAAAUUCUGCGUGUUCACUCAACAUUUUCCUAAAAUCCUUAUUCAAACCUGAAUAAGGUUAUCAAACAAAUUCAUAAGGCUCAGCAUGUCUCUCUUGUUGGAAGAGAGAUUCAAUUUUGCUCAUAGAUAGGGACAUCAAAGGGAGAUAAAAUCAUUUAGCUCACUGAAAAGGCUAUAAAACCGGACAACAGAUAGCAUUUCAGAGACAAGGUGGUGUAAGAAUACCUUCUAGCUCAUCAACAUAAUGCGCCCAAAUAUUUUCCCCAUAAAGACGCUACCACAGCAUCAUAGAUUGACCAGGUCUGGAUCCAUGCUAUUGAACCCAGUUCUGGCAUAGUGGAUUCCCACAAUUAUUACUUGGAAAACUUGAACAUAAAAUUAUACAUAAAUUCUCAUGUUUGGAAUAUCAGAAUUCAUUUUGAAUUUCUAGCCUAGCUAGCUUGUACCACAGUUUAAAAUUAUAUACUUUUUUGAGUUUAACAUAGGAAGAAAAAGAGAGUAGAAAAACAUACUUCAAGCUCAGUGUAAUUCAUUCCCUUAAGAAGC